ensembl:lncRNA
CGUAGCGCCCAAUGAACGGCUCCGGGCAAUCGUAAACCACGCCUCAAAUACGAGAAAAUGAAUGUCUGGUGUUAGCCAGGCUAGUAUCCCCGUGUAUUAGCAAGCAAAAGUUUCCUCAUUGAAGUGUCUUGACAGCAAAACGUGUGUCCUUUGGGUUAGGUCCUACAUCCAAGUCCCAUAUGCAGAGAGGCACCUCAAGAAACUCUAAGUUAACUUAAAUAAAGCUAUGCAAAACGCGUUUAGAAAACAAUGCACUCCACAAUAAGACCUGGCACACCACUGACCACCAGGAGGCUUCACCUGAUAUACCAACCCCAUAGUUACACAUGCUUUGAAAUAUAACUUGGAAGAAAAUUGUGAAAAUCUCAACCCCCCAACCUCAACGGCCAUUUGGUGGUGAACUGGAAACCGAAAACUGAAAACUGGUGACGACCACUGUUGAAAAGUGGCCAAGAAAAGGGCACAUUUCGUUCUUUCUGUCUGGAGGUCAGUCAAUUAAUGGAAUGUCUGCCCCUCAUGAAUACAGGCACGUACAAAAGGUUGUAAGCGUAGUGUAAAGGGAAGGUUUUGAUAUAAUGGAUGGCGCUGAAUGCUGUCAUUGAAAACGGUGGUGCUUUAGCUUGGUCCACAAAAGCAUCCUGUCACUGUGUAACCUAUCUCAAGGGCAUCAGAACUUCUGUUGCCAACACUCAUAGUCUGCCGAAUGACCUCAGUAAGAGAAAGUCAUCAUGGAUUAAGUAUUCAUCCAUCCCUUUCAGUUUCCGCUGUGGAUUUUGCAUCUUGUAUACUUGAAUUGCCGUAGUCUAGGUUAUUUAUGUGUUUCUCUGUGGUGAGAAGCCUCACAGAGUGAUUGACAUUAGCUCUCUGAGGGCUUCUAAACACCCGCUGUGCUCAAAGUGCAGAACGUACGCCUGUUCUGCUCAAACAACAUAAUGAUGCAGAACUCACAUAAGUGGCUUGUGCAUCUCUCUCCCUGCAGAGGAAUAAACAACACAGAGAGCCAUUGGAGCCCACCGUCCCAAAGAGCAAACACUACGGUCGGUGAGUAAGUAGGCUACAAUGCGGGUUGAAAUGUGUUUCGAAGCCGACAACCGUUUUAGACCACCCUCAUUGUCAUAACUCAAUAUAAUGCACGGCUAGCUGCAUAGUCAAGACUGAGACAGAGUAAGCAGCAGAGAGAGAAUGGCUAGUUUUUGUACCCUAGGAAUGAUUAGCUGUGCUUGCUGGAAUACACAGACUUUUUGUGAGUACAGGCUUGUGAUUCACAACAUUUCCAACAGGGGUCAAAGGAAUACUGCUUUCACUUACAAAGCAACUGUUCAGACAGGAUUUGGCAUUGGCAAGGCGCCUCUUUUUAUGAAAUGCAGCAUGAAAUAAAAAAGGGACCAAGGACACUUCUACCAUAUUAUUCACCUACCUAUUCAACAAAGUAUGCAACACUUCAUUAAUUCUAGUGAAACAUGAAUUCCUCUGCAGCCGGAAACAUGCUAAUGACCCUUUAACCAGAGGAGCACUAGACUAGACUAGUCCCAUCCAGUAGCUCUUUACAUAAUGUACCAGCCCCGGUGCUCUGCUGAGCCUUGCAGUUCAGGCUCUACCUCAACCCAUCAUAACAUGUAUACAAUACAUGUAUAUGUGCAUGUGUUUCUACAUUGUAUUACGUAAAAGCAGAUGCUAUGCUUAUUUUUUCCAUUUUUGUGUACUCAAAUGAUUCGUUAACCUUUGGGGUCAAAAACUCAUUGUUGAAUGUAAGUCACUUUGGAAUCACCUUCAGCUAAAUAAAUGUACAUUUAUAGUUAAAUAUAGUUUUUCAGUACAAUUGUCAACGUUACCUACAAUAUUGAGCAUUUGUUUAAUAUUAUUUUGUUUGAAUUACAUUUACUACUUCUAUAAUAAUUAAAGUUGUAGACACUGAUUUAGACUUUUUAAUGGUCCAAGGUUGUAGGAAUCACUAGGAGCACAGUUGAAAAUGAAAUAAUAAUUUGAGGCUACCCCUAAUUUGUCCUUUUAUAAGCUGAAUGUGAAAUAUGUGGUGGAUAAAUACAUCAGAAAGUGGUGUACUGCCUAGAAGAAUGAGUGUUAUUAUCCUCCUUUUUUGCUGUUCUCGUCUAUCCUGUGACAAUGGUGACGUGCAAGACAAUAAACAAAAAAGGACGUAACAUAACAUCUUUCUAACCGAGAUCUACAAAGUAAUAAAAUGUGUCUUAAUGAAUCAGAAUUCAGUUUGACUGAAAUAUAGAAAAGUAAAACAGCAACAGACACGGAUAAUGUAAUUGCUCCAAGAUUUCUGAUGCAUUUUUUUAUAAUAUUUGUCUUUCUGUCUGCCUCCCAGUUUGUCAUUGCCUGCUUUGAUCGUCUUCUGUCAC